UAUGUAAUGGUCCAGCCGCCGCGGUAAUACGUAGGGAGCAAGCGUUGUCCGGAUUUACUGGGUGUAAAGGGUGCGUAGGCGGCUUUGCAAGUCAGAUGUGAAAUCUAUGGGCUCAACCCAUAAACUGCAUUUGAAACUGUAGAGCUUGAGUGAAGUAGAGGCAGGCGGAAUUCCCCGUGUAGCGGUGAAAUGCGUAGAGAUGGGGAGGAACACCAGUGGCGAAGGCGGCCUGCUGGGCUUUAACUGACGCUGAGGCACGAAAGCGUGGGUAGCAAACAGG
rnacentral:rRNA from 1 species